rnacentral:rRNA from 1 species
GUCCACGCCGUAAACGAUGGAUACUAGCUGUUGGGAGCAAUCUCAGUGGCUAAGCGAAAGUGAUAAGUAUCCCACCUGGGGAGUACGAACGCAAGUUUGAAACUCAAAGGAAUUGACGGGGGCCCGCACAAGCGGUGGAGCAUGUGGUUUAAUUCGAUGAUACGCGAGGAACCUUACCAAGGCUUAAAUGUAGAUUGACAGGACAGGAAACUGUUUUUUCUUCGGACAAUUUACAAGGUGCUGCAUGGUUGUCGU